ensembl:lncRNA
GGGAGAGCUAGGGGAGGUCUGGGGAGAGCUAGGGGAGGUCUGGGGAGAGCUAGGGGAGGUCUGGGGAGAGCUAGGGGAGGUCUGGGGGGGAGCUAGGGAGGUCUGGGGGAGAGCUAGGGGAGGUCUGGGGGAGAGCUAGGGGAGGUCUAGGGUAGAGCUAGGAGAGGUCUGGGGAGAGAUGCCCUCUCUCUCCCUCCUCCCUCCUUCGUGUGUGAGCGUGGUGUGUGUGUGUGUGUGUGUGUGUGUGUGUGUGUGUGUGUGUGUGUGUAUCUGUCUGUACAAGCUAUUCACUUACUUUCUAUCUUCCACCCAUCCCUCUUUUAUCCCCUCCUCCCUCUCUUCCUCCCUUCUCUCUCUGUCUCCUCCCUCUCUCCCUCUCUUCAUCUCUUCCUCCCUUCUCUCUCUGCCUCCUCCCCCCUCUCUCCCUCCUCCCUUCUCUCUCUGCCUCCUCCCUCUCUUCCUCCCUUCUCUCUUUGUCUCCUCCCUCUCUUC